rnacentral:rRNA from 1 species
AGCCUGCAUGUCUCAGACCAAGCCGUGUUUACAUGGCGAGACCGCGGACGGCUCAUUAAAUCAGUCGUGGUCCAUAUGGGCUAGAGUUUAUCUUACUUGGAUAACUGUGGUAAUUCCAGAGCUAAUACAUGCAACCUAUAUCCUGACGACGUGGGGGCGCUUGCGUCUCCGCACUGACGGAUGCUUUUAUUAGACCAAACCGCUGAGUGCGUGGCUCGCGCCACGUAUGACUCGUUUAAUGGUGACUCUGAAUAACCUUUCUGACAAGCGAACGUACCCCUCGUUGGGACGGCGCUGCCACUUUCGAGUGUCUGCCUUAUCAGCUAUCAACCGUUCGUUAUGUGCGACCGAUGGCUUUGACGGGUAACGGGGAAUCAGAGUUCGAUUCCGGAGAGGCAGCCUGAGAGACGGCUACCACGUCCAAGGACGGCAGCAGGCACGCAAAUUACCCAAUCCCAGCUCCUGGGGGAGGUAGUGACGAAAUCUAACGAUGCGGGCGCCCUUUCUGGGGCCCCGCAAUCGGAAUGGCCACUUUCUAAACAACCUGUUGAGAACCUACUGAAGGGCAAGUCUGGUGCCAGCAGCCGCGGUAAUUCCAGCUUCAGUAGCAUCUAUUAAAGUUGCUGCGGUUAAAAGGCUCGCAGUUGAAUGUCAGUAUCGAGCGCAGGUCAGGUGGACGCUGGGGCGUGAGAAUUCACGGCGUUCGCGCGUGCGCUCGCGUGUGUGUUGGUGCUUCG